AUCUCAACUCGAUUUCCUUUGCAUAAGCGCAAUCCUUCAAGCUAUUUUGUAAGUGCUUCAGUUCACCUCAAUAACAAAACUCUUGUCUACCUAGUCAUAUCAAGGAUGGAAACCUUGAAAUAAACUUUACUACUUGAAAAGACACAAGGUUAUACUCAAGUUUUCUGUGGAAGAUUGAUUCAGCAAAAGAUAGGUUUGGAAUUCAUGAAGAUGCUAUUUUUAUUAUUAAUUUAGAAAUUUUGUUAAAUUUAAGAAUUAUGAAAUUCUAGUAAUUCAAUGUGUAAUAUUUUAGAUUGAUCGCAACAAUGUUGAAUAUGAUUGU